CGAAUUGAUGCUCUUACUUUGCCCUCAAUCAUUAACUUCGCAAAGACUGGCAGUAUGCUCAUGUAUGACGGCAGUAUGCUCAUGUAUGUAUCGCAAAGACUCUGCCAGUAUGACGUACUGGGGAUUACUUCCUGUUCCACUAGACGCGGGCUCAGAAAGGUGAACAAUAAAUUAUUAUGCAUAAUGCAUUGUUUUUGGCAUUGUUAGUUGUUUAAUACCUCUUGUUACCGUAGACGGUAGACUUGUAACAAAUUUGGCAAUUUUAGUGAAAAUGUUGCAGCCUAUUUUGGAAACACUGAAUAAAAAGAACAUAAUAUUGGCUAGCGGCUCUCCCCGAAGAAAGGAAAUAAUGACCGCUUUGGGUUUAAGAUUCACUUCAGUUCCAUCAUUGUUUGAAGAGAAUUUAGAAAAGUCCUUAUUCAGUGGACCCAGUGAGUAUGCAAAGGAAACUGCGCGACAAAAGGCCUUAGAAGUUUAUCAUCGUGUUCAUAAGACAGAUGAGCCAGACCUUAUUGUUGCCGUCGAUACAGUUGUUUUUCUAGACAAGAUUAUUGAGAAACCAAAGGAUGAAGAAGAUGCGUAUCGGAUUAUUAAGAGUUUGAAUGGAAGAACACAUUCAGUGCACAGCGGUGUAACAUUUCUUAAACCAAAUAAGAGCGAGUCGUUGAAAGAGCCUUUCUCUAUACGCCAGUUCGAUGAAGUAACGAAGGUCACAUUUGGUUCGUUAACAGAUGAAAUGAUUAAAACCUAUGUUGCAACUAAGGAGCCUUUGGACAAAGCUGGUGGAUACGGCAUACAGUCAACAGGUCUCGGCGGAUCUUUUGUCAAAAGCAUAUCUGGAGAUUACUUUAACGUAAUGGGAUUUCCUUUGCAUCGCUUUUGUGUCGAAAUACGAGCGAUUCUGGAGGAUAGUCAUAUGAACGACACCUAACAGUAACGUGUGGGUUUCCAGAAUGACAAUGUCUUCUCUUCUCAAAUUCAGUGGAAGCAUCAAGGAUGGAUGUAGUGACGUAAAUUAUUCCAGAACAUUACAAAACCAAUAGUUGCGAAUGAUCAAAGUUAACUUAAGGCAAACACAGCGACAUCUGUCUAUCGUGCAAGGCUGGAUACAAGUUACCUAUGGAAGCCUCGAAAGACCGGGAGUCUUUCAAAAAUCCCGCACAUGUUGAAAAUCCAGCUUCCUUAAUUAUCGUUAUUGCAUCCUAUUAGAAAGAAUGGAAACCUCCCAUGCAGAUUAUUCAUGUUUACAGUUUAAUCGGUUAGUGAAAGAAUCGUUUUCUAUAUAAAGCUCGAAUGUUCUCAGUCGCCGUCACAAAUCAUGUUCUGCAGUUUAUUUAACGCUAG
rnacentral:misc_RNA from 1 species